rnacentral:rRNA from 1 species
UGAACGCUGGCGGUAGGCCUACCACAUGCAAGUCGCACGGCAGCACAGUAAGAGCUUGCUCUUACGGGUGGCGAGUGGCGGACGGGUGAGGAAUACAUCGGAAUCUACUUUUUCGUGGGGGAUAACGUAGGGAAACUUACGCUAAUACCGCAUACGACCUACGGGUGAAAGCAGGGGAUCUUCGGACCUUGCGCGAUUGAAUGAGCCGAUGUCGGAUUAGCUAGUUGGCGGGGUAAAGGCCCACCAAGGCGACGAUCCGUAGCUGGUCUGAGAGGAUGAUCAGCCACACUGGAACUGAGACACGGUCCAGACUCCUACGGGAGGCAGCAGUGGGGAAUAUUGGACAAUGGGCGCAAGCCUGAUCCAGCCAUACCGCGUGGGUGAAGAAGGCCUUCGGGUUGUAAAGCCCUUUUGUUGGGAAAGAAAAGCAGCAGGUUAAUACCCCGCUGUUCUGACGGUACCCAAAGAAUAAGCACCGGCUAACUUCGUG